UUAUUGCUUACUGUGAGCUAAGACCCUUUUGCCUAACCUCGAAGUCAUGAAGAGAUGUGAACUUUGUCCCCAUAAGGAUGGAGCUUUAAAAAGAACAGAUAAUGGGGGUUGGGCCCAUGUGGUUUGUGCCCUGUAUAUUCCAGAGGUACAAUUUGCCAAUG
rnacentral:sRNA from 1 species